ACACGUGUAGGCUUUGCUUCUCUUCUCUCUCUCUCAACCUUCUCUCUCUCAACCUCUCUCUGUGUGCAAACGAGAUUCUCUCCCUCUCUGUGGCUUCAUGAUGCAAAUGGAUAGAUUGUGCUUCAUACAAUAUCCAAACUUUCAAAAUUCGCCAUACCCAUCGAUUCAUCUCUUUCCCCAGACGAGAAAAGCCCUAAUUUUGAUUUCCUAGAAAAAAAAUAAAAAUCAGCAGAUGGGUGCGAGCGAGAAGUUCGAUGGAAUCCUCCCCAUCCAGAAAUCCGAUGUCUAAGUUUAUUACUGGUGAAAGUAAAUUUGAACCGAAUCUGAUGCGUCUCAUGUUUGAUGCGUCUCCAAAAUUCGAUGUCUAAUUACUGGAAUAUAAUUUUGAUCUUCGUGGGAAAAAAAUGGAGCUUUGUGAAUGUUCAAGAGCUGCAGAGUUUCCAGAAGAGCUUUGUGAAUGUUCAAGACAUUUUGGAUCAGAACCGGCUGUUGAUCGACGAGAUCAAUCUGAACCAUGAGUCCAAUCAACCUGAAAACUUGCAAUCUAAAGGCAAGUUUAUUACACUGAAAACACCAUUCUGCUGGUCUGCAAAGAUACCAAAUCGUAAAACUCCAGUUCGGUCCUGUUUUAGUUUCCUUGUGCACUCACUUGUGCCUUUGUACUCUCAUAUGUAAGUGAAUUUUUGUUUUCCUCAUUGCAAGACAUCCUUGAGACUUUGUCCAUAUCAGUGAUAUUAAGAAGAAGCUGUUCAAGGAUUUAGAUGGCAUAGCCAAGAGUUCUGCGAUUCUAGCUUCUAACACAAGUUCCAUCUCCAUCACUCGUCUUGCUUCUGCAACACAAAGACCUUGCCAGGUAAGAAGGAAGUUGUGUCUACAGAUAAAGCACCACCUGCUGUAGGACCAUACUCUCAGGCCAUCAAAGCCAACGGUUUCGUUUUCGUUUCAGGUGUUCUUGGACUUGUGCCUGAGGUUUGUUUCACGUCUUUUUAGAAUAAGUAGUCUUGAGUUUUGGUUUACCUUUUUGAUUAUAUAUUGUUCAUCUUCUAUGUUUGUUCUGGACACUGCUCGAGUACACGCUUUCAUCGCUUCUUUUUCCACAUAGAAACCAAUAGCUAGUGGUUAGUUCAAUAUCAUUGAUCAAUUUGAAGUU